AAAAAAAAACAAUUAGUAUUUAUGCAUAUAUGCUAAUGGAUUAUAUGUGUUUUCCGUUUGAUAAGUAUUAGAUGUAGAAUCGUCUGAGAAAAGUGAAAUGGUACAACUAGAAUGAAUUUCCAGAUGCACAGAAGAGGAAUGGGACUCAAUGGAAAAUAUUCGUGUUUACCCAUUUGGAUACUAAAAAAUUCAGCCAUGAUUUGCAUCGGAAAACAAAUUGUGGAUUAUAUUGUUGAAUUCUAGUGAAUACGAUACUAUAUUUUACAAGAUGGAAUUACGACUCGCAAAUAAAAGCUGUUUGUUAAUAAUGAGA